rnacentral:rRNA from 1 species
CAGCAGCCGCGGUAAUACGUAGGUGGCAAGCGUUGUCCGGAAUUAUUGGGCGUAAAGGGCUCGCAGGCGGUUUCUUAAGUCUGAUGUGAAAGCCCCCGGCUCAACCGGGGAGGGUCAUUGGAAACUGGGAAACUUGAGUGCAGAAGAGGAGAGUGGAAUUCCACGUGUAGCGGUGAAAUGCGUAGAGAUGUGGAGGAACACCAGUGGCGAAGGCGACUCUCUGGUCUGUAACUGACGCUGAGGAGCGAAAGCGUGGGGAGCGAACGGGAUUAGAGACCCGAGUAGUCCCUGUCUCUUAUAC